rnacentral:lncRNA from 1 species
AAAAAUGUGGAACUCUGUAUGCAGAGGCUCAUUCCAGCAUUUUGGGAGUUACACAGUAUAAAUCAACUAUCAUUCAGAUCUGACAUCCCUUCCGUACCCUAUAUUUUUCAUCUUUAACCCUUUAAGCCAUUCUUCGGUGAAGACAAAUAAUCACUGAAUGUCGGCUUAGAAAAUGUGUAGGUGAUAUGCAUGGGUGGAAGACUUUCAACUAAUAGUAUUAGGAAAACGCUACAACUCUAGCGGGGAAUAAGAUCUAGAACAUUCCGAAAGCAAAAAGAUUGCUAUAGAAUGAUUCCAAUUAUUUUAAUGCCAUGUAAGAUGCCAUUAUAGAAACUGACAGUGCUCCAGUUCCAGCAACACGAAUGAGGGAAAUAAAAAUAUUUCACCCCAAAAUAUAUUUGUCAUAUUUUCAGAUGGCUGUUCAGAGAGCCAAAAGAAGCAGCCCUGCAAAGCUGUCUUUUUUGGAGAAAACUUGCAUUUGCAGAGAAUCUGCUUGAUGCAGCCAGGCCUUCCCUUGUCUGGAUCUCGGGAAGAUUAACUUAGUCUGACACUUUAAAGGUCUGAAACAUGCUGGACAUGGUGGCUCACAUCUGUAAUCCCAGCACUUUGGGAGGCCGAGGAGGCCAGAUCACCUGAGGUCAGGAGUUCGAAACCAGCCUGGCCAACAUGGUGAAACCCCAUCUCCACUAAAAAUACAAAAUUUAGCUGGGCAUGGUGGCACAUGCCUGUAAUCCCAGCUACUUGGGAGGCUGAGGCCAAGAGAAUCGCUUGAACCCGGGAGGCGGAGGCCACAGUGAACCAAGAUCGUGCCAUUGCAAUCCAGCCUGGGCAAUAAGAGCGAGACUCUGUCUCAUACAACAAAAAAGGUCUAAAACAUUUACCAUCUAUUCUUUUGAGGGCUGCCACCUGUGGGGCUUCAUUUACAUAACAAGACCACCUUUGCUAGCCAGGCUUCCCCUUCUCCAGCUCCCCGAACAUGUUAUGCCACUGAUCCGAGCCCACACUCUUUUUGUAACCUUUAGGUGGUAUUUAAGCUUCUAAACCCUAUUGGGUGGGGGUUUGGGGGGUAAUCACUCUGUAGCUCUCCCCUUCAUGCAAGCUAAUAUAUUGGUAUGCCUUUUCUCCAAUUAAUUUGCCUUUUCUCAGUUGAUUUUUCAGUGAACCUUCAGAGGGCAAAGGGGAAGUUUCCCCUUGGUUCCUACAGGAACCUAAGACCCACAGAGUGAUGGAAAAAGGAAAGGCUUUGGAGCCAGGCAGGCCCAAGUUUGAAUCCCAGCUGUACUGCUUAUUCGCUGAACAACCUUGGGCAAGUCAGUUAUCCUACUUAAAAACAGGAUAAUGUUAACUUCACACAGUUGUUUCAAGGAUUAGCAUUAAUGUAGAAAAUCAACUCAUCAGGCAUUGAAAAAAUGGUGGCUAUCAGUAUCAAUGAUCACAUCCCAAUCCAGUUAUGGACCUAACUUUAAGACUGCUGCUAAAUCCCAGGGAAUGAGUUCUGCAGGAGCAAGCAGUCCUGGCCUCAAGUCCGUAUAUUUGUGCAUGUUCCCCAUUUUGUUUUGCCAUUUGAACACAUUUUCAGCAUGUCUAGUGAUUCACCUAUAAAUGUCUUCUUCAAGUGGAUCUCAGCCUGCACAUGCUGCACAUUCUGAAACUCACAAGAACAGUAUCCUUGCUCCCCACAUUGAUUUUGGUCUUGUCUUCCACCUUAGAAAACUAGUAUAUGGUAUAAUACAGUAUUAAAGUUUUAAAGUACUAACUUUAUACACAACACUGCCCUCUAGCGACUAGAAUAAUUUUUUUUUUUUUUGAGACGGAGUCUCGCUCUGUUGCCCAGGCUAGAGUGCAGGGGCACGAUCUCAGCUCAAUGCAACCUCCACCUCCCAGUUCAAGCAAUCUUCCUGCCUCAGCCUCCGAGUAGCUGGGAUUACAGGCACGCACCACCACACCCAGUUAAUUUUUUUGUAUUCUUAGUAGAGAUGGGGUUUCAUCAUGAUGGCCAGGAUGGUCUCAAUCUCUUGACCUCGACCUCGUGAUCCGCCUGCCUUGGCCUCCCAAAGUGCUGAGAAUUACAGGCAUGAGCCACCACGCCUGGCCUAGAAUAAUUCUUUCUAGUUGUCUGUUCAGCUGCUCUCUGGGUAAAAAUUAAAAAUUCUGUCAUAGAUUGUCUUGAAUGUGUUGGCUGACAUUAGAGAAAUGGAAAUCAUAACUACAAUGAGAUACCACCUCAUGCCCAAUAGUAAUUUGAACAACAAUUUGACAAUUCUUUAUAAUAUUAAAGUUACAUGAUCCAGCAAUUCCACUCCUAGAAUUUAAAACCUGUCGGCCAGGCGCAAUGGCUAACGCCUGUAAUCCCAGCACUUUGGGAGGCCGAGGCAGGCAGAUCACGAGGUCAGGAGAUCGAGACCAUCCCGGUUAACACGGUGAAACCCCGUCUCUAUUAAA